CCUGAACGCUGGCGGCGUGGCUAAGACAUGCAAGUCGCACGGGGUAGCAAUACCCAGUGGCGAACGGGUGAGUAAUGAAUCGCUAAUGUACCCUGGACUCUGGGAUAGCUACUCGAAAGGGUAGGUAAUACCAGAUGAGACCACAAGCAGGCAUCUGCUGGUGCUCAAAGGUCCGCCGGUCUGGGAGCAGGCGAUUUCGUAUCAGCUAGUUGGNGAGGU
rnacentral:rRNA from 1 species